ACCUUCUCCUGCUCAAACUGCUGACAAAUGUUUCUGCUGCUCUAAAGUCUGGUCUCCAGAACUUCCUAAAAACUCUCAAAGUCUCUUCUGCUGCAGGUUGCUUUGUAGAACUGUUCCAGAAAACCUCACUAAACCACAUGGAGGGGCCUCAAGAUAGUCGUCCAAAUGAAACCAUACAAAAACCAAACUAGCACAACCCAAACACUAAAGUCUCCUGCAGCCUACCAGAGAAGCUCUGAGAACAGAGAAUCAGGACAGGAACUCUUACCUUCUGGACAACCAACGUUAGUUCACAAGAAUACAGAAUGUGUCUGACCAAAAACCUCUGAAGACUCACUACAGCCAAGAUAAAGACACAACGCAGCUGCACCAAAUCCACUAAUCACUGCACACAGUAGCACCAUGUGCUAACUGUGGCUAAAGAACCACAUUUACCAAGACAACUAUCCAGUACAAAGCCCUAAAACACACCAAGAAACACAUUAAAGCCUAUUUUACUGCUGGAAGCUGCAAGCUAACGCCUAAAGAACAAACUAAAGCAAUGGAGCCAAACCCAGUUCACUGGUGAAGAGAAGCAGAGGAAAUGUUUGCCUGCAGCUAAAUAAAGCAGGAAGACACUGAGCUGCUCAGGUGUUCCUGAUAACACCAAGCAGCCACCUGGACAGCCAAUAGGAGCACAACUUACUGGAAGUCCAGAGGGCUGGGUUAGUGAAGGAAAUUUAGUUUAAAGUUGAAGCAGAAAGUUAACAGAAAGUUGAAAACCAGCUUCUGAUACCUGAAAUCUCUGUUUUCACACAAAGAACACCUGAACAUGUCAAACUGGUUUCAUAAUAGAACCAUCAUUGUAAAAAUGUCAUAUUAUGGUGUGUUGCUCAAAAAACAUUACAACCCGGCUGUCUAGGGUCGCCGAGGAGCAACACAAAAACAGGACAAACGCUGGUUUCCAGGGGGUUAGGAGGAUAUUUAUUUGAAAGAGGAAGUUUACAACAACACAACAUGUGAGCAGAAAAAUCACAAAGUCUGUCUUUAGUUCAGC
ensembl:lncRNA